UGCAAGUCGAGCGCGGGAAGCAGACUGAUCCCUUCGGGGUGACGUCUGUGGAACGAGCGGCGGACGGGUGAGUAACACGUGGGCAACCUGCCUGUAAGAUCGGGAUAACUUGCGGAAACGUGAGCUAAUACCGGAUAAUGCUCCACACCUCCUGGUGUGGAGACGAAAGACGGUUUUGCUGUCACUUACAGAUGGGCCCGCGGCGCAUUAGCUAGUUGGUGGGGUAAUGGCCUACCAAGGCGACGAUGCGUAGCCGACCUGAGAGGGUGAUCGGCCACACUGGGACUGAGACACGGCCCAGACUCCUACGGGAGGCAGCAGUAGGGAAUCUUCCGCAAUGGACGAAAGUCUGACGGAGCAACGCCGCGUGAGCGAUGAAGGUCUUCGGAUCGUAAAGCUCUGUUGUUAGGGAAGAACAAGUGCGAGAGUAACUGCUCGCACCUUGACGGUACCUAACCAGAAAGCCACGGCUAACUACGUGCCAGCAGCCGCGGUAAUACGUAGGUGGCAAGCGUUGUCCGGAAUUAUUGGGCGUAAAGGGCUCGCAGGCGGUCUUCUAAGUCUGAUGUGAAAUCUUGCGGCUUAACCGUAAGCGGUCAUUGGAAACUGGAGGACUUGAGUACAGAAGAGGAGAGUGGAAUUCCACGUGUAGCGGUGAAAUGCGUAGAGAUGUGGAGGAACACCAGUGGCGAAGGCGACUCUCUGGUCUGUAACUGACGCUGAGGAGCGAAAGCGUGGGGAGCAAACAGGAUUAGAUACCCUGGUAGUCCACGCCGUAAACGAUGAGUGCUAGGUGUUAGGGGGUUUCCGCCCCUUAGUGCUGCAGUUAACGCAUUAAGCACUCCGCCUGGGG
rnacentral:rRNA from 1 species